rfam:Shewanella loihica PV-4, complete genome.
CUCUUUGGCUGAGUUAGUGAUCGGCUGAAGUUUCUAUCUAUUUUUGGAGAAAAAAAUGUCACUAAGUAAAGAAGUAAAAGCACAAAUCCUGGCUGAUUUCGGUCGUGGUGAA